rnacentral:pre_miRNA from 1 species
GAUAUACUCCCUCCGUUCAGAAAUACUUGUUUUUAAAAUGGUUGUAUUUAGACUUAUUUUAGUUAUAGAUGCAUCCAUUUUAUUCAUUUUUGGGACAAGUAUUUCCGGAUAGAGGAAGUAUUUG